rnacentral:tRNA from 1 species
GCCUGGGUGGCUCACGGUUGAGCAUCUGACUUUGGAUCAGGUCACCAUCUCACUGUUAGUGGGUUCGAGCCCCACAUCGGGUU